AGCCUUAAUCUUUGUUUAUAUGGUAUGUAUUAAAAAAAAUUAAGAUUCAAGAUUAAAACCGUUACUUUAUAAUAUUUUGUUAACUAAGCACUUAUCAGAUGAUAAAUUUGUUAAGACACCAUAUAUAUACAAAUGACAUUUGUUAUACUUCAUUGGCUUAAGUCAAUUUUUGACAAUAUAUUUUUGUAAAAAAAAGUCCAAUCUGCACAGACUACAGUUGGUAAGUUAUUAUACCAUUAUAUAUUAUAGAAACUUUUAUAAACCUUUUUACGGAUUAUAAAUAAAAAUAUGUAUUUAUUACUCAUGUAUGUAUUACUUGUUGUGUAUGGAUUUCACAUUAGUUGCAAUAUUGAUUUUUUGUUGCAACUUUGUAAUUUUAGUAUCUACCUCAUGUGUUACACCUGGCAAGUCAAACAACUCUUACUUUUUAAUGUGCAAACUUUACAAUAUGUUUGACUAUAGUUCCUUAGUCAUGUGCUGCGACUAGUAAUUUAAAAAACUAUUACAUUUAAUAUGUGUUUGCAUGUCUCGUAAUUUGUAAUAUUGAUUUUAUGUUAUAACUUUGUAAUUUUAGUAUCUACCUCAUCAGCUACACCUGGUAAGUUAAACAACUCUGACUUUUUAAUGCGCACAAAUUUCUUAUUGAUUACAAUAUUGAUUUUAUAAUAUAAUAUUUACCUUUAGUUCUUUCUACGUGUGCUAUGCCUUGUAAGUUUCAAAACCCUUUUUCUUUUAACAUGUGUAUGCAUUUCUUAUCAAUUGCAAUACUGGUUUUUGAUUAAAACUUUUUUUGUUAUAGUUACAUGUUCAGCUGUCAUAUCAGGUAAGUUUAAAAAAUAUUUCUUUUUAGACUUUAAAUGCAUUUAUUACUAGUUGCAAUUUUUAUUUCUUAAUACAACUAAUUUUGGUUCCAUUUGCGCCACCUUCAAAUGGUAAAUUUAUGAAUCUGGAAUGCCUCUGAUUGAUUAUUGAAUUCCUCUUAUAUCUAUUUAUAUAAACUAUUUAAUACUUUUGUAUUUUGUUAGCUCUCCAAGUGCGAUAAAUGGAGAAUCAGAAGCAUUUAAAUUUUAAUUCUGAUUAACUUUUAUUUCAAUUUUCAUUGAUUUAUUUAUUAUUCAUUAUAUUUAUUCAGACAAAUUGUCCUCGUAAGUAAUUAGUUUAUAUUUCAUAAUUUUUGUAACAUGAAUUACAAAUACAUUUAUAUUUUAUUUGUUUUUAGAGCUAACAUAUGAAGCAUAUCGAUCGUUUCGGCUGGACAACCCAGGACCCAGUAGCAAUUCAUCCUACAAGAGAGUUAUUAAAAAUAUUAUUGGAAUAUACCGUUAAUUGUUGUAGAAGGUAUGUAUUGUUUUUUAAAACUUUUUCUAUUCAGCAUAUUUGUUGUGUUGUGGCAUAUUGUUAUACUAAAACGUGAUCAAUUUUUAACAAAUUUUACUAUGUUUAUUCGUUUGUUUUUUUUUAAAAACAAGUUUUUACAUUAUAUACACGCUUUUUUAUUACAUUUUUAAGGAAUUAUGGUCCCAAAAAAAAGUGGAUGUAUGUUUCAUGGUGCAGUAAAAAAGUAUGUAGCUGUAAAUUUCACUGUUCAUAGCGAAAUAAAUAACCACUGUAAAAACGGACAUAUAAUCUUCUUAUAUACUAAAAACAGUGAGUCAACUUUUGAAACUCUUAAACAAGUCAAUGACUUAUUUAGUUUAAAUACAAGUAAACGUCAACUCGUUAAUUUACUUAAAAAUGCCCAAAAAUGGACAUGCAAUUAUGUAAGGGAUUCUUCAAAAUUUAUUGAAUUUUGUAAUGAGCCCUUUGCAUACCAUGCACUAAGCGUGUCAUCGACACAGGCAAUGCAUCUUUAUCAGAGUAGUUUAUUGGUUCCUGUUUCAGGGUCUUCUGUUAUUUCAUCCCGUGAAUAUUUUGCUAUAUUACCUUUAGUUAAUAGGGAGCCUAUUCUGCCUGUAAAUUACAUACAAAACGAAACAAGACAGCAUGCAUCUAGAGAAGAACUCACCCCUAAGAAAGUAAAACUCAGCAAUAAGUUAUUAUAUUUAUGUACUCAGUUAGCAAACUCUACCAAAGAUCACAGGCAAAAAGUAGCAAAACUGAAAUCAAAAUACAAUAGCGUGUCGUAUAAGUUUAACGUAUUUAGGUAAAACAUUAAAAGAAACAAAGAUAUUAUUAGAGUUUUGAGAACAGAAAGUGCAGAUCAAAAAAAAAAUUAAAGACAUAUUAUUACAGUAGAGUAAUCAGUAAUCUUAAAGCUAAAAUUAAGGCGUUAAAAGUAAAAGAAAAACAAAACCUAAUGCAAAUAAGAGUUCUUCAAAAUGCUAAUAUCAAGGCAAGUAAUCUGUUAACUGCUUAACUAGAAAAUGGUAACACCCACAUACAAGAGGGGGAAAUUCUAUCUAUUAAUAUAUCAGAAAAUGAAAAGGCUUAUCCUUUGCAAAUGAGGAUGAUCAUUUACAGCAUGUUACUGGCUAAUGUUCCAACAGGUAACAUUGGAUUCCUUAUUAGAAAAAUUGGUUAGUAUUUAAAUGUUAACUUUAAUGAAAUUCCUAGUCGUUGCACUAUUGAGCGAAUGACACGUGAACUUGGAACUAUAGCAGAAUUGCAAUCAGCAGAAUGGGCUAUAGAAAAUCCUUAUCUUACUCUAUGAUUUGAUGUAACAACGCAAAAAGGUGUUCAUAUAAACAACAUCCAUCUUACAUCAAAAAACAACUGUCAGGUCAUUGCUUUAGACCAAUUAUCAGGUGGAACAGCUAUUGAUUAUGAAAGCCAUAUAUGUUGUGCAGUUGAUCAUCUAGCUUUUAUUUAUUCAAAUUUUCACUCACUUUUCUUAAAUGACUGUCGUAGCACAAUCAUCUCAAAUAUAUCUAACACAAUGUCUGACAGGGUUGCAGUAAAUCAUCUUACAAUCACGAAAACAUGCAAUACCUGGGGUAAAAAUCUUAAUGAGCUAAACUGCCAUUUGCACCCUUUAGACACUAUUGCUAUUUCAUGUCGUGAUGCUCUUAAAUCCUUAGAAUUUGAACGUUGCGGAUUAUUUGGAAAUGAUUGUAUGGCAGUCAAAAUUGUUUUAGCUAUAAACAAGAUGAGGUUUAAAGAUGGAAAAGGUGAUCCAGAAGGGUUUGUUAAUUUUUUAGACAAUACCCAGCCAGCAAUAGCAAACGGGCCCCGUACGGUUUAUAUCCGGGUUUACGGGAUACAUCCCGUAUCCCGUAAUCUUAAUACAAUUAAAUAAUCUUAAUACAAUUAAAAAUAAUAAUGCUUGUAUUCCAUAAUUAGCCAGUCUUGUGAAGAAGAUUCUCAAGUAAAGUUAUUUGAAAAAAAAAAGGAAAUUGAAUCUAUUUUUUUUAAAGAAGAACUUAGUAAA